rnacentral:siRNA from 1 species
AGACUUUGAGCUGGAUACCAUGG